AACGAACGCUGGCGGCAGGCUUAACACAUGCAAGUCGAACGCACCUUUCGGGGUGAGUGGCAGACGGGUGAGUAACGCGUGGGAAUCUACCCUUCUCAACGGGAUAGCUCCGGGAAACUGGAAUUAAUACCGUAUACGUCCUGAGGGAGAAAGAUUUAUCGGGGAAGGAUGAGCCCGCGUUGGAUUAGCUAGUUGGUGGGGUAAAGGCCUACCAAGGCGACGAUCCAUAGCUGGUCUAAGAGGAUGAUCAGCCACAUUGGGACUGAGACACGGCCCAAACUCCUACGGGAGGCAGCAGUGGGGAAUAUUGGACAAUGGGCGCAAGCCUGAUCCAGCCAUGCCGCGUGAGUGAUGAAGGCCCUAGGGUUGUAAAGCUCUUUCAGUGGGGACGAUAAUGACGGUACCCACAGAAGAAGCCCCGGCUAACUUCGUGCCAGCAGCCGCGGUAA
rnacentral:rRNA from 1 species